rnacentral:rRNA from 1 species
AACGAACGCUGGCGGCAUGCCUAACACAUGCAAGUCGAACGAGACCUUCGGGUCUAGUGGCGCACGGGUGCGUAACGCGUGGGAACCUGCCCUUAGGUUCGGAAUAACUCCCCGAAAGGGGUGCUAAUACCGGAUAAUGUCUUCGGACCAAAGAUUUAUCGCCUUUGGAUGGGCCCGCGUUGGAUUAGCUAGUUGGUAGGGUAAAAGCCUACCAAGGCGACGAUCCAUAACUGGUCUGAGAGGAUGAUCAGCCACACUGGGACUGAGACACGGCCCAGACUCCUACGGGAGGCAGCAGUGGGGAAUAUUGGACAAUGGGCGAAAGCCUGAUCCAGCAAUGCCGCGUGAGUGUUGAAGGCCUUAGGGUUGUAAAGCUCUUUUACCCGGGAUGGUAAUGACAGUACCGGGAGAAUAAGCUCCGGCUAACUCCGUG